rnacentral:rRNA from 1 species
UACGUAGGGGGCUAGCGUUGUCCGGAAUCAUUGGGCGUAAAGCGCGUGUAGGCGGCCCGGUAAGUCCGCUGUGAAAGUCGGGGGCUCAACCCUCGGAUGCCGGUGGAGUACUGUCGGGCUAGAGUACGGAAGAGGCGAGUGGAAUUCCUGGUGUAGCGGUGAAAUGCGCAGAUAUCAGGAGGAACACCAAUUGCGAAGGCAGCUCGCUGGGACGUUACUGACGCUGAGACGCGAAAGCGUGGGGAGCAACAGG